GUCUGUGCCUGGGAUGCAAACCAGUGAACCCCGGGCUGCUGAAGCGGAGUGCACGAACUUUGCUAUACCACUGGGCUGGCCCCAAGGAUGACUUUCUAAUAGGCUGUUCUGCAUGUUGCUCGACCUUCCUGCCUGAUGCUCCACUGUCACCAUCAGCUGAACACCGCAGGGGUGCGGCUGCCUGAGAACAACCUGAAGAAACUCCUCUCCUCUGGCCAGUAAAAGACUGAGCUUACAUGAUCUGACUUCCCAAAGGAGACACAGUGUCCAGCAGAGCCAGGAUUUGAACUCGGCAAAGUCAAAAUGGAAGAACCAUUCCUUCAAAAACGAGCAUCACACAUGUGAAGGGAUUUUUUCUGUUAGUAACAGAGGCCCUGGGCUGCCAGGUGGGCUUAGAGAACCUCCUGCCUCCGCGACAGCUCUGGCUUGUUUUAAUUGGGCUUUCUCUGCUGUCUUUGGCAGAAACAUACUGGUUCAGUAAAUGCACACAGUAUGAAUUGGAUAUUCGCCGUGUGUUCUGGAUUUGGAAGAAGAUCACCAGCAUGACAGAUGCCAUUUGUGACAUCCAUGGAUACACUACUCACCUCAACCUGACACAGAACCAAAUUCAGGUCUUUCCUCCUUAUAGCUUCACUAAUUUGUCUGCUCUGGUGGUCUUGUAACUAGAAUGGAAUUCCACUUGGAAGAUAGAUGAGAGGGCCUUUCGGAGACUGGAAAACGUGACCCUUUUGAAUUUAGUAGAAACUAAGAUUCAAAGCAUGAACAACUCCUUUGAAGGCCUGCUCAACUUGGAGACUUUGCUCCUGAUCCACAGUCAAAUUACCCCAAUUCACAAAAAUGCCUUGGUCCCUCUUGUCAAAUUGAAACGUUUAAGCUUAUCUCGAAACUUUGUUGCAGAUUUUCCCAAUAUUCUUGAAGCAGUAUAGCAUCUUCCACACCUGGAAUACCUUGAUCUUACUAACGACAGCAUCAUCUCCUUGGACCACGGCCCCGGGUCAUUGGCCUCCCUGACCCAGCUGAGCCUGCAGGGGAACAGACUAAUAGACUUGAAUUUCUCUGCUUUGUCACUGCCUAAUCUGACCACUCUGGAUGUCUCUCAGAAUAGCCUUCGAGUCCUCCAUAAUGUGGAUCUGGAAACUCUGAUCCAACUGAGGAGCUUGAAUCUGAGUGGAACACUAGAGAUGCUUCCAGCCAAACACCUACAGAAUCUAAGGGAAAUGGACCUUAGUAACUGGGAGCUUAGGGGUGGUCACUUAAAUUUGAACGCAGUGUAUCACCUCCUCAGAAAUGUACCUGUUUUAGAGGCUUUGGCUUUUCAGAAAAAUGCCACUGAUGCAGGGGCGUAAAGUGCUUUGCCAACUAUACCAGGCUUUUGUACGUUGACUUGAGCCAAAUCAGCGAUCUGGUUCACCUCAGUCACAGUGAUUUUGAUGCUAUGCCCAGCCUCCAAAGGCUGAAUCUAAACAAGUACCAAUUUUCCUUUGUCAACAGGACCUGGAGUGCCCUCCAGAACUUGACAAACCUAGACCUGAGCCACAACAGAUUGAAAAGAUUUCCAGAUUUUGCCUUUUCACCCUUGAGGUAUCUACAAGCUCUCUUUCUCUCUAGAAAUCCCUUCACAGAACUCAACAAUAUGGCCUUCUGUGGGCUGUAUAUUGAAGGAACUCAACUUAGCUGAGUGCUGGAUAGUGAAAAUUGACAGAUAUUCCUUUGCUCAGUUUCCAAAUUUAGAGAAUUUAGACCUUGGAGACAACAAUAUUCGGGCUCUGAAGCACAGAACCUUCCAGUUUCUGAACAAGCUCCAAGUUCUGAUUCCCUCCCAGAACCGCCUGAAAGCGAUAGGGAAGAAUGCGUUUUCUGGCCUCACUUACCUCUAUAGACUUGACCUGGCAAACUAUAUCUUGUCAAGUUUUCAGGCAGGCCUUUUCUCGGGGCUUGAAAAUCUAGAACUUUUGAAUCUCAGUUUUGAUAAAAUUACAUACGAAACAACUAGGACCUUGCCAUUUCCUCCAUUUAUAAACUCAGAUCUUUGAAACAACUCAACCUAGAAGGACAAAUACAUGGAAUUCAGGUUUUCCAGCCAACUUCUUCUAAGAACUAAAUGUCUUGCAGGAGCUACUCCUAGGAAAAAAUCCCAUCAUAUUCCUGGACCACCUCCAAUUUGACUCCCUGACUAAUGUCACAAAGUUGGGUAUCUCAGGAACAAAAGCUGGAGGCCAAAAUCUCUAUUUAAAUAUUUCCUUAUCCCAAAAACUCAAAAGACUAAAAAUGUUGAGCCUGGAAAAAACAACUUAGCGUCACUGACCCUGACAUGUUCUCUGGCUUAGAAAGCCUUCAGGUCUCCUCUGUAAAAUUUAACAACCUAAAAGUCGUUAAUCAAAGUCAUCUGGAGAAUCUGAAGUCUCUGAUGUACUUUGAUCACUAUGGGAACACACUUCAGUGCAGCUGUGACAAUGUGUGCUUCGAGAACCAGUCAAUAAACACAGCAAACGUCCAUAUCCCCUACUUCCGGAGCUACCCCUGUCAGCAGCCAAUACCCAGAAUUUGUUGAUAGAUUCUGAUGAUGCUAUAUGUAAUUUUGACCUGGGAAAGGUUUACUUCUGUUCCUUCAGUCUGGUCGUUACAACUAUGGUCUUCUCUUGGUUCAGUGCCAAGAUAACUUCAUGUCUAUGGUAGGGGCUGUACAUAUUUCAAACCUGGUACCUGGCCAAGUGGCAUAGGACAGAGAAGGAGUUCAUCUGUGAUGCCUCUGACUCUUUCACUGCCACUGAUGAGCAGUGGGUAGUGAAGAGCUUGUUCCAGCCCUAGAAGAAGGUGGCUAGCCCACCUUUAAGCUCUGUCUUCGCCAUCAGGACUUUGAACCCGGUACAGACAUCUUUGAGAACAUCCAGAACGCCAUCAACACUAGCUGGAAAAUGUUGUGUGUGGUCAGUAACCACUACCUGCACAGUGAGUGGGGCCAGCUUGAAGUACAGCUGUCCAGCAUCAAGAUGUUCUACGAGCAUGAGAGCGUUAUAAUCUUGAUCUACCUGGAAGAGAUCCCAAACUAUAAGUUAUCCAGCUACCACUGACUCAGGAAGCUUGUGAACUGGCAGACAUUUAUCAACUGGCCAUACAGUGCCCGUGAGAGGCCUCUCUUCUGGGCUCAUAUUAGAAAUGCAUUGGGUGACAAAUCUGUGGAGAAAGACAAUGCACAGCUAAUUGUGGCUCGGUAACUGGAAGUCUUGGUGACCUCAAAUCCAAUAUUGCCCAAGGUGUGUCUAGGCUAAGAGCGUGCCUGAAUGCACCUGCUUUGCGGGGGAAAGGGCGUGGGUUGCUCGUGACCACAAGACCCGGGAUGAUUUGGUUAAUGUCAGUCAGGCAGCUGGAAGAGUGAAGGGGGCUGCUAGAGGAAGCUUCAGGAACAGUGUCCCCACUGUUAGGGGAUUAGAUAUCUGGAAAGUAUUUCUGUUUUAUUAAGGAGAAAGCUUGGGAGACAAAUCAUCUCAGAGUCUGGGGACCAGGAGGGCCCUCAUAUGCGCUUGAGAACAUUACUCUGCUAGUUUAUCCAAAUCAGUUCCUAUCAAGAUAGACUGACCUGUACUCCUUCUAAGAACCUGUAACAACAGAAAUACCACAUACAGGGCUCAAUAAAAGCAUUUUUAAAAAGUUAA